UCUGAAAGUGGGUGGGAGUGUGUGGGACGCGCCAGGGCGGGGCGGCCAGUGCAUGGCACAGCACCCUGGCUUCCUGCGGAGCCGGCUGCAUCCACACCUGUUCCUCCUGUGCCCGAGCCUGUGAGGUCAUUGUGCGUGCACAUGUGUACUGUAUGUGUUUACAUGCCUGCAUGUGUGUAAUGUGUGCAUGUGUUGUGCAUAUAUGUGUUUGCAUGGGUGUUGUGUGUGAGACUGCAUGUAUUUGUGAUGUGCACAUGUGUGGUGUGUAUAUGUAUGUGCAUGUGUGUGAUGUGUGGUGUGUGCAUGUGGGUGGUGUGUGUGUGGUGUGUGCAUGUGUGUGUUGUGUAUGCGUGUGGGAUGUUUGUGAUGUGUGCAUUUUGUGAUGUGUGCAUAUGUGCGGUGUGUGUGUGGUGUGUGCAUGUGUGUGGUGUGUGUGUAUAUGUGUGUAAUGUGUCCAUUUUGUGAUGUAUGCAUAUGUCAGUGUGUGUAUGGUGUGUGCAUGUGUGUGGUGUGUGUGUAUAUGUGUGCGAUGUGUACAUUUUGUGAUGUAUGCAUAUGUGUGGCAUGAUGUGAGUGGUGUGGUGUGUGCAUGUGUGUGUGCAUGUGUGAGUGUGUGCGCCCAUUCUGCUUGGUGAUCAUGGGCCCUGCCUGGGAGGCAGAGUGAGGAGCCGCCAGCCCCCGGGUGCACAGGUGGACCUUCCAGCUGGUCCGUAUUGGGGACCCCUUGCCCCUGCAGUCCCCACCAUCAGGACUGCACCCCCUUCUUUGCUGAGGCCCAGCUGGGAGUGACUUUCUCGCUAGAGCCUGGCCCUCCUCGUGAGACCCUACUGUGGUCAUCUCUGAUGGCUUGGCCAGCGUUCUCCUUCCUCUUUGCACACGUCACUCCUUCCAGCUACUCCAUGUCCGAGGAUGUGAGUGGUUAUUAAUUUUGUGCAGCGUAUGAUGACCCCUUCCAGAACAGAGCUCGAGCUCUGCCCCCUAGAGCUUGUGGGACGGGACACCAAAGUGCCUGCAGUCCCUCCUCUCCAGCCUGCAUUUCCCACCCAUCCUCGGCUUGCUCUUGCCUGCCCAGUGCAGAGAAGCGAGCUUGCCUGGGAUUGCAGGGGUGCUCGGCAGGUCCUCUCCCUCGAUCCAAGCUUUCCUACCCCCUCACUGCCUUCCAAAGACCGAUUCUAAUACUGCAGGGAGGAAAUGCAUAGAACAGGCUGGCUCUGCUCCAACGUGACUGUGCUAUGCGGGCUCAUCGAGGCCUGGUCGUGUUUGAAAUCUCAUUUAUUUCACCACUCUCAAUCGUGCACUACGUGGGGCCUGGCUUAGCCCGAGUGUCUGAUGAGGGAUUUGCGGAGUGGUUCAGCAUGCUUCACUGUGAGUCUCCAGCCACCAGCAAAGGGAAGAGCCCGGAGACCCAGAAGCAGCAGGGAGGGUUCUGGAGCUGGCACCUGCAGCCGGGUGGGGAAGUAGGUGCGAGCACUCCCCGGGAAGCCUACACAGCUCCCUUCAUCUUUUAAAAUGAAGGGCAUCUUUCGCUCUCAUUUUUUAGUUCACCAUUGAGUCGCCCUUGGCACGCUUUGUUUUUCAUCUAAACAAACCCUGUCGGGAAGCCACCAGGCACCAGGCGUGUCUCACAGUGCAUGGACCACUGCGUGAGAGCAGCGUGGAUUUCACGAUCAGACGGUUGCUUGCAGCCUGCAUGAGAUGAAUGAGCGCUGUCUGCCCUGGGAACAUCACAGGGGUGGUCACAGUGCAGUGUUUUGGGGUCACUUUUGGUUUUA
rnacentral:lncRNA from 1 species